CAUGCGUGCGCGGUGCUGGUUGGGCCUGUGCGCAAACGCUUAGGGGCAGCUCGGUCGGGAGCAGAGCGGAGGACACGGGGCGGGGCGAGGGGGCGGGAGCGCACAGGGCUCGGCGGAGGGUCCGCGCCGCAGGGCCAGCGCUCCCGCCUCCGCCGCGAGGCCGCUGCUCCGCUCCCGCACGCCCGCCGCCCCGCCCCGGGGAGGGGGUCGGACAGCAGCGCGGGGGCCGCCGUGUGCGCCACCCUGACGCCGCGCUCCUGCCGCCGGCUCCUCUCCCCCGCCCAGGCCUCCCGGAGGAGCGCGAGCCCCGCGGCGCUCGGUUCGACGUGGUGGUGUGGGCCACGGCUGUGCCCGCGCUGCUCCUCAUGUGCCUCUGCAAACGGUUCUACAGGAGCCACAAGCUGUUUCCACCCAUCCCGCAGGUCAAGAAGGAAAUCACGGGGGCCCUCAUGCCGACCCUGGAGGUCACCUGGGAUGACGGCCACCCGCCGCCGGGCUCCCAGGAACCCGAGGACGUCCUCAUGGUGGAGGAAACGUGGUGACUGCCGUGGGGACAAGCGGACAGCGCAGCUUUGGCCUCAUCCCCCGCCCUCCCCGCCACCCCUGAAAAUGUCACGUGUGUGCGUCAUCCACUCAAAGACUUCGCUGACCUGCAACGCUGCCACCCGGACACCCAGCAGCAUGGCUUUUGGGCUUUCUGCGCGCGUCCACGCGGGCCGGCUGGGCGGGAUGGUGUGUGCCGCGGGGCACCCGCUGGAGGGAGGCUAGCUGUCCGGCUGUGUGUCCGUGUCUCUGACGCACGACGCGCCCACUCAGGGACAAGGAGAGAGAGGCCGGUCCGCACACCCAGGUCCCGCAUGUGGGUCCCACAGGCUGGGAAGCAAGUCGGACGCGGGCGGGAGCGUCCCCGUGGGUUUGUGCACCUGCUGUUCCGUCCCCGCGGAGAUUUGGAGGGUGGCCCGUCCCCACGAUGCAGCUAACGUGUUUCAGCGUGACAAAUGAUGGACGUGGUGGGGGGGGACCUCCUGGGAGGAAAAGCACGCGUGUGUUCCGCGGAUGUGCCUCUGCAUUCGGGGAUCUGCCCGUGUCUGGAUGACGCUCAACCUUGUGUCGUCCCCGGGGAGGUGAAGCCCCUUAAGGUGCAAAUCCAGCUGCCGCCCCGCGCCCAGGGAACUGCUGCCCCAUGGGUGUUCAUCCAAAGCACCCGCAAAACCCCAAAAAACCAUGUAGGCAAACACACACACACACACACACACACAGGAAAUAAAGCUGUCAGUGCAGGAGACGCCUCA
rnacentral:lncRNA from 1 species